AUUGAACGCUGGCGGCAGGCCUAACACAUGCAAGUCGAGCGGAUGAAGGGAGCUUGCUCCUGGAUUCAGCGGCGGACGGGUGAGUAAUUCCUAGGAAUCUGCCUGGUAGUGGGGGAUAACGUCCGGAAACGGGCGCUAAUACCGCAUACGUCCUGAGGGAGAAAGUGGGGGAUCUUCGGACCUCACGCUAUCAGAUGAGCCUAGGUCGGAUUAGCUAGUUGGUGGGGUAAAGGCCUACCAAGGCGACGAUCCGUAACUGGUCUGAGAGGAUGAUCAGUCACACUGGAACUGAGACACGGUCCAGACUCCUACGGGAGGCAGCAGUGGGGAAUAUUGGACAAUGGGCGAAAGCCUGAUCCAGCCAUGCCGCGUGUGUGAAGAAGGUCUUCGGAUUGUAAAGCACUUUAAGUUGGGAGGAAGGGCAGUAAGUUAAUACCUGGCUGUUUUGACGUUACCAACAGAAUAAGCACCGGCUAACUUCGUG
rnacentral:rRNA from 1 species